UAUGUAUUCAGUAUUGUAAGCUUUAGCUUGUUUAUAUUACAAAUUACAAUAUUAACAGUUUUGAAUAUACGCAGAUAAAUAUAAAAGUAUUAGGAAUACCAGCAAUUUAGUAUCGUAAAAAAGGGAAAACCUAAUAAGAUGCUAGAAGUACUUGGUUGCAGUAUGCAGAUUACGCCUGUCACCAUUGCAUUGAGGGUGCCCCUCUUAUUAAUAUUUAUAUGAAAAAGAGAAGAAAACGAGACAGUCAAAACAAUUAUUACAAUUGGAUUAAUGUACCUGAAAAUGAAUUUGAUAAUGAUUGGUCAAGUCUUUCUGACUUCUGUGUGAUUCUAUAUAAUUUGGAGUUAAGUAUAAGGGUGAUUUGUAUUUUAUGAAUAAUUUAAUAAAGAGAUAAAGCAAGUGAAUAAGAAA